UACGGGGGGCGAAGCGUUGUUCGGAAUUACGUGGGCGUAAAGGGCUCGUAGGCGGCCAACUAAGUCGGAUGUGAAAUCCCCAAGCUUAACUUGGGAACUGCAUCCGAUACUGGAUGGCUUGAAUCCGGGAGAGGGAUGCAGAAUUCCAGGUGUAGCGGUGAAAUGCGUAGAUAUCUGGAGGAAUACCGGUGGCGAAGGCGGCAUCCUGGACCGGCAUUGACGCUGAUGAGCGAAAGCUAGGGGAGCAAACGGGG
rnacentral:rRNA from 1 species